UACGAAGGGGGGCUAGCGUUGUUCGGAAUUACUGGGCGUAAAGAGCGUGUAGGCGGUCCGGUAAGUCAGCUGUGAAAGUCAAGGGCUCAACCCUUGAAUGCCGGUUGAUACUGUCGGGCUAGAGUCCGGAAGAGGCGAGUGGAAUUCCCGGUGUAGCGGUGAAAUGCGCAGAUAUCGGAAGGAACACCAGUGGCGAAAGCGGCUUCCUGGUCCAGCACCGACGUUCAGGCACGAAAGCGUGGGGAGCAAACAGGG
rnacentral:rRNA from 1 species